rnacentral:lncRNA from 1 species
CCUGCCUCAGCCUCCCGAGUAGCUGGGACUACAGGUGCCCGCCACCGCGCCCGGCUAAUUUUUUGUAUUUUUAGUAGAGACGGGGUUUCACCAAGUUAGCCAGGAUGGUGUCGAUCUCCUGACCUCGUGAUCCGCCCGCCUCGGCCUCCUACAGUGCUGGGAUUACAAGCGUGAGCCACUGCGCCUGGUCGCACCUCUUUUCAAAAGCCAGUGUUAUCUGGGAAAGUGCAAGGGGUGGGGAGUGGGAGGUGCUGUUUUCAAUGAAAAGAAAUGAAAGAGACAUUGUGCGUCUUCUUAGGUGAUAUUACAGUACCACAGACACUACAGUUAGGUGACUGAGUCCAGUAUUGUCUGUUUUCUCAGGUGUGAUGACUGUGUCGUGUCAUGCAGAAAAAUGUCCUUAUUUCUAGGAAUCGCAUGCUGAGAUCUCGGGGAGUAAAGGGCCAGGAUGUCUGGAACUUAAUUUAAAAUGAUUUGACAAGGACAGGCAUACACAUAGGGACAAAGCAAAUAUGGUAGAUGUUAUCAAUUGCUGAAUCUAUGUGCUGAGUACACACGUAUUUGUUGUAUUGUCUUUUCACCUUUCCUAUAUGUUUAAAAUCUUUCAUAAUGUCAUUCGGGGGGAAAAAAAGCUGAUCUGGCUAUACUUAUUUGGGAAUGUGCCGGCUAAAAGGGAACUAACAAAUAAAAACUUAACUUAGAACAUAAAAUUUUAGAGACUGAAGGAACCGGAGACCUUCUAGAGCUCAACUCUCAUUUUAAAGAUGAGGAAAGUGGGCAUAUUGAUUUUAUCUUAUUUUCUUUUUCUCUUUACUUUUUAAAUGUUUUUGGUUUAACUUUAAGUUCAGCGGUCCAUGUGCAGGUUUGUUACACAGGUAAACUUGUGUCAUGGGAGUUUGUUAUACACAUUAGUUCGUCACCCAGAUAUUAAGCCUAGUACCCAAUAGUUGUUUUUCCUGAUCCUCUCCCUCAUCCCACCUUCACCCUCCAAUAGACCCCAGUGUGUAUUGUUCCCUUUUGUGCCCGUAAGUUCUCAUCGGUCAGCUCCCACUUAUAAGUGAGAACAUGUGGUAUUUGGUUUUCUGUUCCUGUGUUAGUUUGCUGAGGACAAUGGCCUCCAGCUCUAUAUUGAAUAGUUAAAAACUAUUUAGGCCGGGUGCAGUGGCUCACACCUG